GACGAACGCUGGCGGCGUGCCUAAUACAUGCAAGUCGAGCGGACCACUUCGGUGGCCAGCGGCGGACGGGUGAGUAACACGUGGGCAACCUGCCUGUAAGACUGGGAUAACACCGGGAAACCGGUGCUAAUACCGGAUAAUCCUUUCCUUCACAUGAGGGAAAGCUGAAAGACGGUUUCGGCUGUCACUUACAGAUGGGCCCGCGGCGCAUUAGCUAGUUGGUGAGGUAAUGGCUCACCAAGGCAACGAUGCGUAGCCGACCUGAGAGGGUGAUCGGCCACACUGGGACUGAGACACGGCCCAGACUCCUACGGGAGGCGGCAGUAGGGAAUCUUCCGCAAUGGACGAAAGUCUGACGGAGCAACGCCGCGUGAGCGAUGAAGGCCUUCGGGUCGUAAAGCUCUGUUGUCAGGGAAGAACAAGUACCGGAGUAACUGCCGGUACCUUGACGGUACCUGACCAGAAAGCCACGGCUAACUACGUGCCAGCCGCCGCCGUAACAC
rnacentral:rRNA from 1 species